CAGUACGACAUAUUACAGCGGCCAGCAAGUCGCUCUUGAGAAGGCCGUUUAGCGUGUGCUCAUGUGUAAUCUAACCAAGAUACACCGUGGUGAGAGUGGACGUGAGCACAACGCGCUUGGCAGGAGGGAUAGCUUCUCUAAAUGUUCUACUCGAGUAGCAACAGUAGCAACGUGCUACUGAAGGACUCGUCAUGAAAAGAAGACAACAAAGGGGACGAGUGCGGACUACAGGAGGCUCCGGUAGUACGGGAGGGGGAGCCUGCACCCGUUCGCACCAAUGGAAACAUGGGGGACUGGUCAGCUGCUUUAGGUUCCUUGGGGGUGGACAUUAACACAAAUACCUGGUGGUCAAAUCAGCAAAGAAAAGUAUCUUCUCCCGGAGGAGACUGAAGAAGUAUGGUAUGGACCCGACUGACAUCUUUUGUGCCAAGGAGUAUUCAGUUGAUUACCAGGUUGAAUUCAGUCCAGCUCUACAAAGACACAUGGGCGAUAUGUGGCGGCCAGCUGGAGGACAAUGAUGCAGAAAGGAGACGUUCAAUAGGAACUCUGUUGAAAGAACAGAACAAGGCUUAGCCGGCUAUUGGAUUCAAACAACCAUUGACGCAUUCAGCUUCAAAAGCAGCAAUGUUCUUUCCCUGGUCGAUGUGUUUUUCCGACUUUCACGAUAGCCUUGGGGAUUCUUUACAGAAUGCUGACAAAAGAGCAGAAUACCAUUCCCGGUCCAGGAAUGGACUGUGUCUCCGGCGGCCAGUUUGCCUGCUCAAUAUUCCCCGUCCUGCUCCUGCUUCGACCCACCUGACCUUUACCUCCACUCGGCUGACCCUCAGAAAUCCAAUCUCCAAUAUUUCCUUUGCUUACUCCUAUAUUGGGUUGACUUUGUUGUCUUUUGAAUGUCUUUCUUUUUUUUCCAACUGUUUUUAACAUUAAACUUGUAAUAUAUUUAU